UUUUCUCAUCUCCGAAGAGGUUUAAGAGUGGAAUCAACCAACACAUCGAUGCCAGAUUGUUAACCAGUAAUGACAACCUCCUCGAGACGUCCUGGGUCAACCCCCGAGGCUUUGAGUUCCUGGCUGUACCUGACCCUCUUACCCCUCGCCGGUUGCCCACCUCGAUCUGCCCCGGUAAGCUGAGGCCCGCAGCUGUCCGCCCUCUGACGCCGUCUGCUGGUU